UGCCCCCAGAGUAGUGACGAGUAAGAAAAAUUGUUAAUGUUUCUCUUUACACAUUUUGUUCAGACUGUUUUACACCAAUCCAGUAGGUGGCGGUAACUCCCCCAUUUCUGUUCUUAGCUUGUGGAAAGAAUAAGAAUCAGGGGAAAGUUACUUGAGAAAAUGGGUAAAAAAGAAGACAAGGAGCGAAAACGGAAGAAAACGGCGGUAACAUUGUUACUAAUAUUGGUGACUUGUUCAAAAAAAGGCCCAAAAUCGUAGAGAGAUAGACAAUAAAGGACAGCAACAUCAGAGACAGACAAUGGAGGGCAGCAACAGAGACAAUGGAACAAAGCAACAGACAACUGAGUGGGGAGCAACAGACGAAGAAAUAAGGACAGCAACAACAGAUUCACAACAAACUUAUAAUAAAUAAAAUAUGUCUAAAUUAAAAGGUUUGAAGUGUGCUCGUGUAUUUAGGGGGCAUUGGAGUAGAGAGCCAAAUGAAGUCCACUUUUGGGGGAAAAAGAUCCCCCCCCAUCACAAUGCUGGCUACGGG